GACGAACGCUGGCGGCGUGCCUAAUACAUGCAAGUCGAGCGCAGGAAACUGACGGAACUCUUCGGAGGGAAGGCAGUGGAAUGAGCGGCGGACGGGUGAGUAACACGUAAGGAACCUGCCUCAAGGAUUGGGAUAACUCCGAGAAAUCGGAGCUAAUACCGGAUAGUUCAUCGGACCGCAUGGUCCGUUGAUGAAAGGCGCUCCGGCGUCACCUUGAGAUGGCCUUGCGGUGCAUUAGCUAGUUGGUGGGGUAACGGCCCACCAAGGCGACGAUGCAUAGCCGACCUGAGAGGGAGAUCGGCCACACUGGGACUGAGACACGGCCCAGACUCCUACGGGAGGCAGCAGUAGGGAAUCUUCCACAAUGGACGAAAGUCUGAUGGAGCAACGCCGCGUGAGUGAUGAAGGUUUUCGGAUCGUAAAACUCUGUUGUAAGGGAAGAACACGUACGAGAGGGAAUGCUCGUACCUUGACGGUACCUUACGAGAAAGCCACGGCUAACUACGUGCCAGCCGCCGCCGUAACAC
rnacentral:rRNA from 1 species